AUUGAACGCUGGCGGCAUGCCUUACACAUGCAAGUCGAACGGCAGCACGGGUGCUUGCACCUGGUGGCGAGUGGCGCACGGGUGAGUCAUACAUCGGAACAUGUCCUGUAGUGGGGGAUAGCCCGGCGAAAGCCGGAUUAAUACCGCAUACGAUCUACGGGUGAAAGCGGGGGGCCUUCGGGCCUCGCGCUGUUGGGUUGGCCGAUGGCGGAUUAGCUAGUUGGUGGGGUAAAGGCAUACCAAGGCGACGAUCCGUAGCUGGUCUGAGAGGACGACCAGCCACGCUGGGACUGAGACACGGCCCAGACUCCUACGGGAGGCAGCAGUGGGGAAUGUUGGACAAGGGGCGAAAGCCUGAUCCAGCAAUGGCGCGUGUGUGAAGAAGGCCUUCGGGUUGUAAAGCACUUUUGUCCGGAAAGAAAUCCUUGGCCCUAAUACGGUCGGGGGAUGACGGUACCGGAAGAAUAAGCACCGGCUAACUACGUG
rnacentral:rRNA from 1 species